rnacentral:sRNA from 1 species
AAAGCGCCUACGGGAAAAACAGCUGGGAUGCAGACGGGCUAUGGAAAUCUCAGUUCUAGGAACCGUGUCCUUUCGUCCCGGAGCUGGGAUCUAGCAAUUGGGAGGCAGCAGACUUGGGUAAUGAAGAGAGAAAACAAAAGUUCUUGAGACUUAUGGGUGCAGGAAAGAAAGAACAUACUGGUCGUCUUGUUAUAGGAGAUCACAAAUCAACAUCUCACUUCCGAACAGGUAAGAAAGUAAAGUGUAAUUAAAAUGGAAGUGCUAAAUUCAGAAUAUGAAGUAUGUGUUCAUGUUUCAGGAUAUUCUACUUUGGCAUGUGUAAUUGUGUAAAUUAUUAAAAUAUUAGAAUUGGAGCUGGGUGCAGUGGCUUAAUGCCUGUAAUCCCAGUUAUUUGGGAAGUUAAAGUGGGAGGAUCACUUAAGCCCAGGAGUUUGAGGCUGCAAUGAAGCUAUGAUUGCACCACUGCAUUCCAGCCUGGGCUACAGAGCAAGACC